UCAGGAGUGAAUGCUGGCGGCGGUGCCUAACACAUGCAAGUCGAGCGGCGAGCGAGGGGUGCUGCACCCUGUCGGCGAGCGGCGAACGGCUGAGUAACGGCUAGGAAUUUAGCCCAAAGUGAGGAAUAACUGCCCGAAAGGUAGCUAAUGCCGCAUAUGGUCUUCGGAUUAAAGGAUUUAUCCGCUUUGGGAGAGGCCUGCGUUGGAUUAGGUUGUUGGUAGGGUAAUGGCCUACCAAGCCGACGAUCCAUAGCUGGUCUGAGAGGAUGAUCAGCCAGACUGGAACUGAGACACGGUCCCAGACUCCUACGGGAGGCAGCAGUGAGGAAUCUUCCACAAUAGGCGAAAGCCUGAUGGAGCAACGCCGCGUGAAGGAUGAAGGCCUUCGGGUUGUAAACUUCUUUUAUGAGUGAAGAAUAUGACGGUAACUCAUGAAUAAGCACCGGCUAACUACGUG
rnacentral:rRNA from 1 species